CAGCAGCCGCGGGAAUACGAAGGGUGCAAGCGUUACUCGGAAUUACUGGGCGUAAAGCGUGCGUAGGUGGUGGUUUAAGUCCGUUGUGAAAGCCCUGGGCUCAACCUGGGAAUUGCAGUGGAUACUGGGUCACUAGAGUGUGGUGGAGGAUAGUGGAAUUUCCGGUGUAGCAGUGAAAUGCGUAGAGAUCGGAAGGAACAUCUGUGGCGAAGGCGACUAUCUGGGCCAACACUGACACUGAGGCACGAAAGCGUGGGGAGCAAACAGGAUUAGAUACCCGAGUAGUCCCUGUCUCUUAUAC
rnacentral:rRNA from 1 species